CCGGCACGGUGAGUAACACGUAUGCAAUCCACCUGUAACAGGGGAUAACCCGGAGAAAUCCGGACUAAUACCCAUAAUAUGGGCGCUCCGCAUGGAGAGUCCAUUAAAGAGAGCAAUCUUGGUUACAGACGAGCAUGCGCUCCAUUAGCCAGUUGGCGGGGUAACGGCCCACCAAGGCGACGAUGGAUAGGGGUUCUGAGAGGAAGGUCCCCCACAUUGGAACUGAGACACGGUCCAA
rnacentral:rRNA from 1 species